UGUCCAGGGAUGGGAAUCGAACCCACUGUGUUCCGCUUACCGGGCAGAUGCCAUGUCCACUAGGCUACCCUAGC
rnacentral:tRNA from 1 species